AGCGAACGCUGGCGGCAGGCCUAACACAUGCAAGUCGAACGAAGUCUUCGGACUUAGUGGCGGACGGGUGAGUAACACGUGGGAACGUACCUUUUGGUUCGGAACAACUCAGGGAAACUUGAGCUAAUACCGGAUGAGCCCUUAGGGGGAAAGACUUAUCGCCGAAAGAGUGGCCCGCGUUAGAUUAGCUAGUUGGUGAGGUAAAGGCUCACCAAGGCUACGAUCUAUAGCUGGUCUGAGAGGAUGAUCAGCCACACUGGGACUGAGACACGGCCCAGACUCCUACGGGAGGCAGCAGUGGGGAAUCUUGCGCAAUGGGCGAAAGCCUGACGCAGCCAUGCCGCGUGAAUGAUGAAGGUCUUAGGAUUGUAAAAUUCUUUUACCAGGGACGAUAAUGACGGUACCUGGAGAAAAAGCCCCGGCUAACUUCGUGCCAGCCGCCGCAGUAA
rnacentral:rRNA from 1 species